GGGCGCUUGGUCUAGGGGUAUGAUUUUCGUUUCGCAUUUGUGCCUUGUCUGUGUGCGCAAAAACUAUGAAAGGUCGUGGGUUCAAUUCCCACAGCGUCCA